rnacentral:rRNA from 1 species
CAGUCGCCACGGUAAUACGUAGGGUGCAAGCGUUAAUCGGAAUUACUGGGCGUAAAGCGUGCGUAGGCGGUUUGUUAAGACAGAUGUGAAAUCCCCGGGCUUAACCUGGGAACUGCAUUUGUGACUGGCAAGCUAGAGUAUGGCAGAGGGGGGUGGAAUUCCGCGUGUAGCAGUGAAAUGCGUAGAUAUGCGGAGGAACACCGAUGGCGAAGGCAGCCCCCUGGGCCAAUACUGACGCUCAUGCACGAAAGCGUGGGGAGCAAACAGGAUUAGAUACCCCUGUAGUCCCUGUCUCUUAUAC